AAAAGUAAACCCCUUACAUUCCAAUUUUUGUCCUUUUCCUAGAGUUUUGGUAGCAUUGACAUGGUUCUCAUAAAAGGACAGGGCAGUAAACAGUCCAAGCAAUGUGCAGAAGUUCUUUUUUGGAGGCAGGACGAAAGCCCACAUUGGUCGACUAACAUUAAUACAUAAUUCCACUGGGCCCAUUCAUAAAGGAAGGAUUUCAUAGCCUAGAGAAAUGUUAAUUAGUCUUCCUUCUUCCUCAGGAUGAGAGGGCCCCCUCCAAGCUCCAAGGAGGAGGCAUAUGUACUAGUCAUUAGUGGAUACGACCAGCCCUGUAUCUGUCCAUUCUACAACCUGCAAUAAAGGGGGGUUAGGUAUAUAAGCCAAAUAAGUGUGGUUAAUCAAGUCAGCCUGAGCGGGGGAAGCAAAAGCAAGCAAAGCAAGCAUAGCGACAAAAAUAUUUUCAGGAUUCCGAGGCAUUCCCUGUUGAGAAACCAGAUUUUCAGCUUGAUUAGUAAGGGUCUUUAUCUCGUUAUUUUGAUAAUUUG